GACGAACGCUGGCGGCGUGCUUAACACAUGCAAGUCGAACGGAGUUUACAGACGGAAGCCUUCGGGUGGAAGGCUGUAAACUGAGUGGCGGACGGGUGAGUAACGCGUGGGUAACCUGCCUUAUACAGGGGGAUAACAGUUAGAAAUGACUGCUAAUACCGCAUAAGCGCACAGGAUUGCAUGAUCUGGUGUGAAAAACUCCGGUGGUAUAAGAUGGACCCGCGUCUGAUUAGCUGGUUGGUGAGGUAACGGCCCACCAAGGCGACGAUCAGUAGCCGACCUGAGAGGGUGACCGGCCACAUUGGGACUGAGACACGGGCCCAGACUCCUACGGGAGGCAGCAGUGGGGAAUAUUGCACAAUGGGGGAAACCCUGAUGCAGCGACGCCGCGUGGAGGAAGAAGGUCUUCGGA
rnacentral:rRNA from 1 species